rnacentral:rRNA from 1 species
CCCUUAGAUGUUCUGGGCUGCACGCGUGUUACAAUCGGGAGUACAACAAGAUUGCAAAUCCUAGUGGAUGAGUGGUUCUUCGAAAUUUUCUGAAGACUGGGAUAGUUGAUUGAAAUUAUUCAACUCAAACGAGGAAUUCCUUGUAAUUGUAAUUCAUUAUAUUGUAAUGAAUACGUCCCUGCCCUUUGUACACACCGCCCGUCGCACCUACCGAUUGAAUGGUCCGGUGAAGCCUCCGGAUUGGCGCGCACCUCGGUGCCGCCGAGAAGUUGGCUAAACCUUACCAUUUAGAGGAAGGUGAAGUCGUAACA